rnacentral:lncRNA from 10 species
GUGCCAGCCAACUGUGGCUGCCUGGGACACUCCAUCUUAAGUCCCUGUGCCUCUGCUGUGUGUUACUGAGUGCCUAGGCCGUGCCAGCCUGUAUUCAUCUGUACUAUGACCUGAAGAGGCAGAGGCCAUCACUGUUGGUCCGGUCUCCACCUGGGGAAACUGAGGUGUCUCUGUGGUGACGAGCAGGGCUUCAUCCAGUGCCUCUGUCCCCACCGAGGGGACUAUGGGAGACAUGGAGGGUGUGUGAGCAACAGGUGAGACUGGAGCCAGCUGAAAACUGGGAGACCGACCCAGCCAACAAACAAUGUCGGUCUCUGUCUUGGCACCUGCAGGAAACAAGCUCCUACUUCCAGAAAAAGUGCUCCUGGGACUCCAGGAUACCAGGCAUCUGGGUAAGCUACAAUGCUUAACCACUUAACACAAUCAGGAAGCAACAGCCAUGCAUUCGGGAAAGGAACUUCAGUGUUGUGUGGCUCAGUCUCCAGACCUAACUUUCCCUUUGGUACAGACGCGGUGGUACAUGCCUGUAAUCCCAACACUUAGGCAGGAGGAUCACUCGAGCCCAGAAGAUCAAGACUAGUGUGAGCAACAAAAUCCUUCCCUGGCACCGGUUCCAGGAGGACCUCGUUCUUAGGCAGCAUCUGUGUCUCUGUUUUGUAAGACACACAGAGUAUCCUUAACCCACUGCAGAUAUUUCCCUGGGUCCAUGGUCAAUCAACACCACCUUUCAGUCUCCAGCCUCUUAACCAGCCCAGGGCUGAGUGUUGUUUAUAGUAUUAAUAUGUUUCUGGCUGGGCUCAGUGGCUCAUGCCUGUAAUCCCGGCACUAUGGGAGGCUGAGGCAGGCGGAUCACUUGAGGUCAGGAGUUCAAGACCAGCCUGGCCAACAUAGUAAAACCCCGUCUCUACUAAAAAUACAAAAAUGAGCCGGGUGUGGUGGCGUG